rnacentral:rRNA from 1 species
CAGUCGCCGCGGGAAUACAGAGGGUGCGAGCGUUAAUCGGAUUUACUGGGCGUAAAGCGUGCGUAGGCGGCUUCUUAAGUCGGAUGUGAAAUCCCUGAGCUUAACUUAGGAAUUGCAUUCGAUACUGGGAAGCUAGAGUAUGGGAGAGGAUGGUAGAAUUCCAGGUGUAGCGGUGAAAUGCGUAGAGAUCUGGAGGAAUACCGAUGGCGAAGGCAGCCAUCUGGCCUAAUACUGACGCUGAGGUACGAAAGCAUGGGGAGCAAACAGGAUUGGAGACCCCCUAGUCCCUGUCUCUUAUACA